GAAUCCCAGAGGAACAGAAAAAGAUUUAAAGCAGAAAUAAAACUGAAAUGGAGGAAGAAGUGGCCUUGGAGAGAGAGAUGACAUUUGGUGGCAGGAGGACUGUAUGCCCACAAUAUACCACCAGGAACACAGCGGUCAGGACAGAUGUGCUGAAGAAGACCUGUUCCUUGGCACACCACCAAUCCCAGUGUAGGAAUGAUGAGCAGUUCCUGGGAUUUCCUGGCAUAUGAAAUUUAAUUAAAAUUAUAUUAGGAUUUGCCACGUUUGGUAAAGUAUAUGGAGUAAUGUAAUACAUAAAAUCAUCUCUGAAAAACUGGAAAUAAAGUACU